rnacentral:lncRNA from 1 species
AUCACAGUAUGGUUACCCAGAGAUUAUUUGAUAUGGAAAUUUAAACGGCCGCAUUAGAUCUUUGAGAUCCUACAUCUGUAUAUCUCUCCAGCCCAGAUACUCUACUGUACUCGACACAAAGACCUGUACUCGACACAAAGAUCUGUACUCGACACAAAGAUCUGUAGUCGACACAAAGAUCUGUACUCGACACAAAGAUCUGUACUCGACACAAAGAUCUGUACUCGACACAAAGAUCUGUACUCGACACAAAGAUCUGUGCUCGACGCAAAGAUCUGUACUCGACACAAAGAUCUGUAGUCGACACAAGGAUCUGUACUCAACACAAAGUGUUGGUGGGGGUAACUAGGGACUAGAGGGGUGGUGGUGGAAUAUGUGAGAGAGAGGUCUGUAAAGGGUAAAGGGUAGUGGAGUCAAUCAGAGAGAAGGCUGUGUAAAGGGUAUAGGGUAGUGGUGUCUGUGUGAGAGAGGGCUGUGUUAAGGGUAAAGGGCAGUGGUGUCUGUGAGAGAGAGGGCUGUGUUAAGGGUAUAGGGUAGUGGUGUCUGUGUGAGAGAGGGCUGUGUUAAUGGUAUAGGGUAGUGGUGUCUGUGUGAGAGAGGGCUGUGUUAAGGGUAAAGGGCAGUGGUGUCUGUGAGAGAGAGGGCUGUGUUAAGGGUAUAGGGUAGUGGUGUCUGUGUGAGAGAGGGCUGUGUUAAGGGUAAAGGGCAGUGGUGUCUGUGAGAGAGAGGGCUGUGUUAAUGGUAUAGGGUAGUGGUGUCUAUCAGAGAGAGGGCUGUGUUAAGGGUAAAGGGUAGUGGUGUCUGUGAGAGAGAGGGCUGUGUUAAGGGUAAAGGGCAGUGGUGUCUGUGAGAGAGAGGGCUGUGUUAAUGGUAUAGGGUAGUGGUGUCUAUCAGAGAGAGGGCUGUGUUAAGGGUAAAGGGUAGUGGUGUCUGUGAG